rnacentral:lncRNA from 1 species
CGCCCGUCCAUGAAGGAUGUUUUGGAGAUCUUGCAAGGAAUUCAAGCUUCCACAAACAAAAACGUGGAGGUUAGGGGUGAUCAUUAAUUAAUUCAUUAUUAAUCCUAUUUAUAUGUGAAUUAAUUAAUGGACCUGUAUGAUUAAAAGGCUAUUGGUUGUUCAUUUUGUAUUUUCCUUGAACUCAAGUAGCUAGCUAGGUGUAUUUCUGUGGUGGCUUCAGUGAGUUGUGGAUUUGAUAUACAUGCCUCUAGUUAGUUCAUCAACAUGUUGUAUUGUAUCGUGUACCUAUAGUUCUAUAUUAGAAAUCCCAAAUAUUCAUUAUGGAUCUUGAUCAAACUCAUGGAUUAUUCUUGUAUUGUCACAAAACCAUAUAUAAAUCUCUUAGACACACUCACAAAAUAUAAACUCUACAUUUUGUUUUGAGGAGUGCUAUAUAGUGCGAAAAUCCUCUCCCGAAAUGAUCACGAAAAUGUACGCGUAUGUCAAAUUCAGCUCAUUUGUUAAUUUAAGGCAAAGCUCUUUUUUGGUUUUAAUUAAAACAAUAAUUAAUAAUACAGCAGUGUAUUGUGGAUCCACCGCUUGGGGAUUUUUUGUAACUAAUUAACCAGUUAUCCAUACUUCACUUCAAUUCAACCAAUAGCUUAUAAAAAAUUCAACACAUGCUAUGCUACUACUUCAUCCAAGAUCUGCUAUACAAUUUGCCACUUUCACAUUUAGUCAUGCGUUACUUUUUAGAACCACCUGUUUUGAUGAUAAAUUAUUGGAAUAAUAAAGAGAGGUUUUGUGAUAAGACGGUGAGAAACUAACAAAUGAAGAGAAAUAGAGCACUGCUAUUUGCAGCGAAAGAAAAUAUCACGAAUGGUUUCACGAAGUAUUGCCAUCAUUGGAUUUUGUUUGGUGGAAAACAUGAACGGUGGGAUGAAAAGAAGGGAGUAUGAGACAGUUUCAACAUACUGCUUACAAGUUGUCGUGAUGCAUUCGUGGGCAAAUUUGUCGCUAUAAGUAGCAUUAUAAGUCAUAUAAGGCGCACAACUCAUUCGGGAUGUGUUCGGGAAUUUUUACUCGUGACAUAUAGCAUUUUCCUUUUGUUUUUUUGAGUUUGUGAGUGUGCGUAAGCCUAAGACUUAUGACUAUGGAAGACUUUCUCCAAACUUAUAUAAGGAUUGUGACUCUCUCUUGAUGCACAAUAUAUUACAGAUAACAAUUAUCAAUAAAUCUCUUACAGGCCUAAUCUGUUAGCAGGUCUCUAACACACAUCAACACUUUACUUUGACCUAAUGUGAUAUACGAUUAGAAAAAUGGGGCAGCACGGAUCAUACUCCAAUACUAUUGUUCAAAGGGAUUAUAAACAUUCACCAUUUUAUUGAUCAUUAUUAUGAUCACCACAACCUUCAAAAAGGCACAGAGAAUAUAGUUGAUCAGUAAAAUCCAAAUGAACAAUUUGACCAUGAUUUGGAAAACUAGUGUGCAAAUCUUAAAAGCCAUACCUUUGGGUUUCUUGUGCUGCAUAUUGAUUACGGGGUGAGUUAUCUUCACCAGAAGUCUUUCGAAUGUCAGAAUCUACAAAGUCCCUAUGCGGACUUCCGAUAGUACUGCUUGCAAAUGGACUAUUAGGAGCACUUUUUGCAGAUCCAUUGUCACUUUUAUUAGAAACAGAUCCAUUGCCUACUCUUUUGUCCCUCCCUUACUAGUAGUAGUAUUAGUAGUAGUAAUUCACUAUGUAUGGUAGUACAUCGUACAAAUACUAUACACGCAUGCAUACGCAUAUAUCGAGCAAAUAAUUAGUGGAAGAAGAGGAAAAGCUAUCUUUCAUUCAUUAUUGAACUGGACAAGAAAGAAAAAGCAGCAAAAGUAAUAUAUUAUUAUUAAUUAAAAAAUAAAAAAAAAGAUAAGAGCAAGAAUAAAAAGCACGUAACAAGAAGAAAAGAAAGAAGAAAUAAUGGUUUGAUUGAUUGGAGAGCAAAAGUGGAACUUGUUGAAAUUCAAACAAAUACACCACCCUGCUGCUCUAAUUAACCUCUUCUUCUUCUUCUUAUUGUUGCAAUUAUACAAUUCAAUGGGGAUUUGCUGGAGUUAUCCACCUAAAGAUCCAACUCCAACUGGAACUGGUAACAAUUCAACAACUUGUUCAUUGUACUCAAACAUUCAUAAUUUGAUUAUUAAUUAAUCUCCUUAUUAUUUAUUCUACUAUGUGUAUGUAGUUACACCUGCAGGGAUAUCUCAUUCUCAGACCACAAGUGGAAGCUAUGGUAUUAGUACCACCACCACCACUGCUUCAACAACUACUACUUUCAAUUCUGUUUCUACCACUUCUUCUGGAAAUGGAAGCAGCAGUAAUAUAUCUUCCUCCAUAAGUAGAAGCAACUUCUCCUCAGUUUCUGAUUAUUCAAUUGGUGGCCAGAUCUUACCUACUUCUAAUUUGAGGAUCUUUACUUUUGCUGAAUUAAAGGCUGCUACCAAGAAUUUCAAACCUGAUACACUUCUUGGUGAAGGAGGUUUUGGUAAAGUUUACAAGGGAUGGCUUGAUUCCAAGAAUAGUAGUGGAACUACUGUUGCCGUCAAAAAAUUGAACUCCGAAAGCUACCAAGGACUCGAGGAGUGGAAGGUACGUAAAUGGAUCACCCUAUUCAAUCAUAGACACAGAUUAAUUAAUUUGGUGAUUGAUUAAUGGUUAAUUGGUUUGUAUAUGUGUUUUGUGCAGUCAGAAAUAAAUUUUCUAGGACGGCUUUAUCAUCCUAACCUUGUUAAGCUGUUGGGAUAUUGUUACGAGGAAUCAGAACUUCUUCUUGUCUAUGAAUACUUGCAGAGGGGCAGUUUGGAACAUCAUCUCUUUGGAAGGGGUGCUUCUGUUCACCCACUUCCCUGGGAUCUCAGGCUUAAGAUAGCAAUUGGAGCAGCCGCUGGCCUUUCCUUCUUGCAUACAUCCGAUCGAGAAAUUAUUUACAGAGACUUCAAGGCCUCUAAUAUACUGCUUGAUGGGGUCAGUUCAUUUCAGUUCAAUUCUAUUCUGUUUUAUUUACAAAUCUUCAUAGUUUAUUUAUAGUAUUAAUUUAAUUAAUUGGCCUCAAUUUUAAUUAAAUUAUGCUGCUGCUGCAGUCCUAUAAUGCAAAGAUAUCAGAUUUUGGACUUGCUAAGUUGGGUCCUUCAGCUAGUCAAUCCCACUUAUCAACAACUGUAAUGGGCACACCUGGUUAUGCAGCUCCUGAAUAUAUGCAAACAGGUAAGUAAAUAAGUAAUUCAUUGUUAAAGUAGCUACUAGCUACUACUUCUAUUUGAAUUUGAUUGAAAUUGAAAUUGACAUUAUAUGCUAUGCAGGGCAUCUAUAUGUAAAGAGCGACGUGUAUGGGUUUGGAGUUGUUUUGGUUGAGAUACUCACAGGCCAACGAUCCAUUGAUACCGACCGUCCAACUGGGUAUCACAGUCUAAUAGACUGGAUCAAACCACACCUACUUGAUAAAAAAAAAUUGAAGAAUGUUAUGGAUGAUCAUUUGAAAGAUAACUAUCCAAUGAAAGCUGCAUUUCCUAUAGCUAAGCUGGCUUUAAAAUGUCUUGAGCCUAAGCCCAAAAUGCGCCCGUCCAUGAAGGAUGUUUUGGAGACGUUGCAGGGAAUUUAAGCUCCGACAAACAAAACCGUGGAGGUUAGGGAUGAUCAUUAAUUAAUUCAUUAAUCCUAUUUAUAUGUGAAUUAAUUAAUGGACCGGUAUGAUUAAGAGGCUAUAUUGGUUGUUCAUUUUGUAUUUCUGUGGUGGCUUUAGUGAGUUGUGGAUUUGAUAUGCAUGCCCCUAGUUAGUUCAUCAACAUGUUGUAUUGUAUCGUGUACCUAUAGUUCUAUAUUAGAAAUCCCAAAUAUUCAUUAUGGAUCUUGAUCAAACUCAUGGAUUAUUCUUGUAUUGUCACAAGACUAUAUAUAAAUCUCUUAGACACACUCGCAAACUAUAAACUCUACAUUUUUUUUUUUUUUGAGUUUGUGAGCGUGCCUAAGACUUAUGACCAUAAUCUUAUUACUAUGGAAGACUUGCUCCAAACUUAUAUAAGGAUUGUGAAAAGUAACAACAAGAGUAGGCUCUUGUUGGUGUUACUGCGGCCUGAUCCGAGUAUAUGCAGUAGCCAGUUGGUAGUUUUUGUAGAUACAUUUUAUAAAAGCACUAUAAUAAUUGAUAGCAUUUACUGCUUGUAACUUAUCAGGCUAAUCAAAGCAUCAUAUUCUUUACUCUAAACUUCAACAAUAACAUUAAGUUGCUAUUGUGGAGAAAAUAGAGAAUCUAUUAUGUGUUUGAUUUCAAGCUAUUUGAAUGAGAAUUUAUUUGGUCUCAUGACCAGCAUGACUUUAGUGAAAAUAAGUGUUUUGUUUCUAUCUAAUUGUUGAAUGAAGAAACACAACAAAAAAUUGAUUAUCUGACGGAAAAAUAAACAUAUUCUUACCUGUGUAGCACCCAUUUUUGGGAGAUAAAACUUGUCGCCUCAAUAACAGACAACCCAGAAGAAACUACAGUUUUAUCAAUUCAAUUUUCACAUCAUU